rnacentral:tRNA from 2 species
GGUCUGAUGGGUGAGUGGCUUAGCCAACGGUCUGCAAAACCGUCUACAGCGGUUCGAAUCCGCUUCAGACCU